UACGAAGGGGGCUAGCGUUGUUCGGAAUUACUGGGCGUAAAGGGCGCGUAGGCGGUGGGAUAAAUCAGAUGUGAAAGCCCUGGGCUCAACCCGGGAAUAGCAUUUGAGACUGUCCUUCUUGAAUUCGGAAGAGGUAAGUGGAAUUCCCAGUGUAGAGGUGAAAUUCGUAGAUAUUGGGAAGAACACCCGUGGCGAAGGCGGCUUACUGGACCGACAUUGACGCUGAGGCGCGAAAGCGUGGGGAGCAAACAGG
rnacentral:rRNA from 1 species